AUUGAACGCUGGCGGCAGGCUUAACACAUGCAAGUCGAACGGUAACAGGAAGAAAGCUUGCUUUCUUUGCUGACGAGUGGCGGACGGGUGAGUAAUGCUUGGGAAUCUGUUUCAUGGAGGGGGAUAACUACGGGAAACUGUAGCUAAUACCGCGUAAUAUCGAGAGAUUAAAUGUGUGGGACCGCAAGGCCACAUGCCAUGAAGUGAGCCCAAGUGGGAUUAGAUAGUUGGUGAGGUAAUGGCUCACCAAGUCGGCGAUCUCUAGCUGGUCUGAGAGGAUGACCAGCCACACUGGGACUGAGACACGGCCCAGACUCCUACGGGAGGCAGCAGUGGGGAAUAUUGCACAAUGGGCGCAAGCCUGAUGCAGCCAUGCCGCGUGAAUGAAGAAGGCCUUCGGGUUGUAAAGUUCUUUCGGUGGCGAGGAAGGUUGGCGUGUUAAUAGCACGUUGACUUGACGUUAGCCACAGAAGAAGCACCGGCUAACUCCGUGCCAGCAGCCGCGGUAAUACGGAGGGUGCGAGCGUUAAUCGGAAUAACUGGGCGUAAAGGGCACGCAGGCGGUGACUUAAGUGAGGUGUGAAAGCCCUGGGCUUAACCUAGGAAUUGCAUUUCAUACUGGGUCGCUAGAGUAUUUUAGGGAGGGGUAGAAUUCCACGUGUAGCGGUGAAAUGCGUAGAGAUGUGGAGGAAUACCGAAGGCGAAGGCAGCCCCUUGGGAAUAUACUGACGCUCAUGUGCGAAAGCGUGGGGAGCAAACAGG
rnacentral:rRNA from 1 species